CACAGGUUCUGUGAGCCAUGAUGUCUGUAAAGUGCUGGAAUGUCACAAAGAUGGCACCGUCACCCAGACUUAUUCCUGAGUGGAAGGACUUGAAACUCUUCAUAAAUAAUAUGCUGAAGGAUCUAAAGGUGACGUGUAUGGGAGAUCAGCACCUGGUGGGCUUGGACUAAUUAUCCCUGCCAGGGCAGGCUGUUCCUGGGCAGAAUGUGAGCUCCUCCUUGGGAGGAGCCCUUCCAUACCCCUAAACAAUUCCUCCCUCUAAACUAAGAUGAUAACAAUUAAAACACAUUAUGCUGGAAACAAAACAAAACAAAACAAAACCAAAAAAGUGAGUUCACAUGGAUUAAACAAGCAGGAGAUACCUUUGUCUUUACAUGUCAAGGACCCAUGUUCUUUUUCUUUCUUUUCGCUAUCCUUAAUAUUUUAGUGUAUCAUCUUAAGGUUGCAGGACAGUUCCUGUACUUCCAGGUAUCAGCUUUAAAUUGCAAGUAGGUAGAAGAGAGAAGGUCAGAAAGUACAGAGCUGUGCCAGCCUUAGAGUGCUACAGUUGCCACUCUGUAUUGCCAGAAUUUCUGGGGCCAUGAUCACCCUAAACAAGAGCUGAGUUUUACUGGGAUAGGAGGAUGAUUGAUACACAGUAGGCAACAGUACUUCUAGGCACAGAUACAUUACUUGGGUUUAACAUAGUCUUUUAGAGUCCUCCUGAGAAAACCCUUUAUACUGUUGAGUCAGUAAGUGAAUCAUUUGUACAUAAAAGGAGGAGAGGAAUGGUAAUUAAUGGAGUAAGGGGUUUGUAAAUUAGCCUUCUGAUUCAAUGAAGAGGGAUGGGAGAUUGAGAGCUCAGAUACCAGCAUCCUUUCUCUCAACUCUGCUGCUGUCACUGAACCAGCAAUGGCAGUGGAAGCUGUCUCCAGCAUUGUGUUCUGUAUUCUCCCAGAACACACAAAGAUCUGAAUAUGACAAAUAUAAAGAGAUUCUAAGUUGCCUCAGUAUAGUCUCAGGUCCUUUGUGGAUGCAGAGAAACUUGGGGAGUUAGAUUCAUGGAGUAGUGUUCAAGAGGCAGUAUAGCACAAGCUAUACUGCUGAGAAAGGGACCUCAGAAGUAGACUUAUGAGCCUCGGUUUUGGCUGAUCCCUACAAGGAGUUCAUGUCCUUAUGUCCUAGAUAUAAACUCUGUUACUGGAAGAUAAUGUAUGUUGGACAUGUCCUACUGUGAACAUGUUGAAAGACAUAUAUCGUCCUUAAUACACCACACACACACACACACACACACACACACACACCCCUACGGGGUCAGAAUACAGAAUGUUAGAGCUGAAGCACUCCACGUUUUCCUUGGAUGCAUAUCGGAAUAGUGAAAGAGGGACAUGCCAAAGUGUCUAGCUCUGAUGCCCACGGGCAUGCCAUGGGCAUUCUAAGUCUGUGAAGUACGAGUUUCCCAUAGGCAGUGUAUCAUGAGUGUGACGCUGACAGGAGUGGUCCUUUGGGCAUAGGCAGGGACUUUGAAGAGUUGUUCCAACUGAGGUAGAGUAUUUGCCAAGGUUGGAUUGUUUCGUCUUACUCAUAUAGGAUUGUAUUCCUUUCUUUGGAAGUACUUAUUUGUUUUGUACAGACAUUUGUUAAUUGUUUAUGUAAUGCCUGUUUCCCCCACUGGACUCUUAUCUUUUGAAAGCUAAGGCCAUGUCUCUCUUGCUCAGCAUCAUAUCCCCAGUGUGUGUCCUAGAACAUACCACCCUUUCUCAAGUGUUCCUCACCUGAACCAUGGAAAACAGAUUUGAGGGGCUAUUUUCUCAUUUCUCUUAAGGAUGAUACAUAACUAGUAACAUUCUAGAUGCAUAGGGGAGAAAUUAAUGCCUCAUGUAGAAUAGAUACUUUAGGACAUUAGGGCUUACUUCUUACGGAAACUUGGUUGAGAAAGGCUGGGAGGUACUUUGAAUUAAGAUGUGGGUGAGGGUGAGGGAGGGAUGACUCCCCCAAAUAGUGCUUUCCAGUGGUAGGGUAAAUAAAUGUUGGUUAAUGAAAAAACAACAAAUGUCCGCUAAUCCUCAAUAAAUAUUUAUUAAAUGAAUGAGUGAGUGGCGACUUAGGCCUUUUAACAGGCCACUCUUCUCUCUCAGUCUGCUGAGAAACCAAAGAAUGAGGUGAUUGUACUGAGUGACUGGCCUGAGACUCUGUACCAGGAGCCUCACCAUCCCCAGAGCAAGCCUUUCAUCUGCUUCUAUUCCAUCAACAUCAACUAUUUCGUCUCCUUAAACUGGGUGGAACCAGAUUCAAACCAAAUACAGGUAAAGCUGCCUCCCUUUUUUUUCCUCCUUCUUAAUCCACUUUAUAUUCAUCAUACCUGAACUGUCCUCAUCUCAGAAUGAUGAGGGGGAUUCUGAGUUAGCUCAUUUUAACAUCUAUCUCCGUUUCUCAAUCUGACCUGGAUGCAGUGAUCUUUUUCACCUCUAGUUUCAGCUCCAGAGAAUUCAUAUUCCUUAGAAAGCAGACUGAAGGCCAAGGAAAGAGCCUUAAGAAUCAUGUUUCUAUCCCGUACCCAAAUCCUAGUAUUAGGAAACUCCCAAAGUUAAGUUCUUUGGUCUUUCCUUAGUCUUACAAGAGGGAACAGCGAUCUAAACAUUCAACCCUUCAUACCCCUUACUCUUGGGAGAUCAUCUGCCUCCAUGGUCCAACUUUCAUCUCUCAUCCUCUUCUAGGCAGUACUUUGGAUACAAAAGAAAAAUACAGAAGCAGAAGGAACAAUGGAGAAGAUGAUGUUUUGUGUGAUGGAUCAAGUACCACCCAUUGAAGCAAUGGUCCACACAGGUUCCUACCACAUGUUAGUUGCUUACUGUGGUGACAUGCACCUGUGGCUCUUUGGAGAUCACCAUCGAGCAUUCAUAUCCCUGGGCACAGUGCCCUGUCGUUUCUUCAUCAGCUGCCUCUGCUAUGACCCAGAAACGGAGGUGCUGCUGUCUGGUACCUUGGGGGCUGUGGUUACCUGGCUUAUCUUACCAAAUGGCAGGGACCUCCAGAUGGCACAAACAGUGCCCGUGUCUGGUCAUGAGCUUGUACAGGGCUUUUCCCUGAAUGGCCCCAAGGGGUCUCUCCUGGCCCUUUGUGAGAAUAAGGUAAGGGUCUUCACCCACCAGGGUCAGGGCCAGCUGAAAGAGGUAAGAAAGUUCACUCCCAUAGGCAGUGGCUCUUCCAUCACCUGCUCCUUCACUUGUGUCUCUCAGGGAUAUUUCUAUGCUGGAAACAAGGAUGGAGAGAUCCAUGCUUGGGGUCUAGACCAGGGUAACUUCCUCCACAGCUUUCAGGCCCAUUCCUCAUCAGUUAUAUGUGUUCACAGCCGGCCAGAGAUCCACACCUUACUGACAGCAGGCCGAGAAGGCACAGUAAGGGAAUGGAACCUUGCCGUUGGGAACUUGCUGCGGCAGCUGGAUAUUGGUGAGGGUCUGUGGCAACUGCAGUUUAUUGAUAACACCACUUUUUUCUGCCAGACUAUUCACGCUUUCUCACUGCACCACCUGCCUUAUUUUUAUAGCCUCUUCAAUGUCUGUGGUUCUGCUCCUGAGCAGGUGCACCGGGUCUGCUGUGGCCGAAAUUGGACUCGGAUCCUGUGUGCCACUAAGGAUGGUUUGUUGCGCUUCCUGUCUCCAGUGACAGGAGAUCUCCUGGUUCUCACCUGGCCUCUGCUUGUCAUGGAUAAGGCUGUGGCUUGGGCCUAUGACCCAGACAAUGAGGAGCUCUUUGUGGCAACAGGCAGCUCAGAGGUGCUGGUGUUUGAUGCAACGCGCUCGCCUUGCACAGCCAAGUAUAUGGUAUGCACUUCAGUAAACUCUAGGGACAGAGUAAGUUGCCUGGCCUAUGCACAGUCCCAUUUGGGUAUGGGCCUAGUAGGACUGAUGUUCUGUGGGCAAGACAGUGGCAUUGUGAGAAUCCUCUCCCACUAUAGCUAUGCCCGAAUAGAAAAGACUGUUCAUUCUGGGGCAGUUUUGGCCCUGUCUACCCUGGAAGGUCCCCAGGAAAACUCCUUGCUCUGUUCCUAUGGCAUGGAUAAUACUGUAUACCUGACAGAAGCUUUGCUGUGGAAGAACAAGGUAAUCCUGCAGUCCAUAAGCAAAAUUCUCUGUAGUUGCCCCCUGCAACACGUGAUACUGCUGCCGGGUUCUGUGGGUGCCAUCACUGACAACCACUGCUGGCGUCUCUGGCACUAUCAAGAUUUUCUGCAAUCUGCAGAAUCAAAACAAAGCUCUAUGUUUGAAGAGACAAAAUGCCUGCACCAGUGUGCCAUCACUUCAUUUGAUGUCUGCUCCUCCCUGAAACUUUUUGUCACAGGGGGCAUUGAUGGCUCAGUCCGGAUCUGGGACUUCCAUGGUAGACUCAUAACUGAGUUGGAUUCAGCACUGCAUUUUGGUCCACUCUGCUUUGCCAAUAAUCGGGGUGACCUGCUUUUGACUUUCAACCAGAGUCUUUACCUGGUAUCAUGCUUAAAAUUGCUCCCUCCUGCUCGGCUGAUUCACCUAGCUAUCCUAAAUAAUGCAGAUGAAAUACAAGAAGACCCUAAACUCUUUCUGCCUAGCUUCUUCUUUUCUUUUGAAAUAGUACUUGUACCCAAAUUUGUCUAUCUUGGACAAGGGCUGCAGGAAUUACAGGGGCUAGAGGCCCUUGUUAACAAACGGGUCAUUGCCUUUGACAAUACUGUGCCCCAUGUUGUAGAGGAAGAGAGACGUAUGCCUUCUCUGAUUCAAGUGGAACCCAAAUUACAUUUUUUGGAGGAUAAGGAUAUUGCUUUUUCUAUUCCUGACACCAAGCAUAAUCAUCCCCCACAUGUGGUUCCUGCUCAACUACGGCUGGCUGGCUGGAAUGGGUUGAACCCCUAUCAUAAACUGCAUGGCUUCUUUGGUAAAGGGCGGCAAUGGCCCUUUGCUCCUGAUGGCUACAUCCCCAACUCAGUUAUCCGUGCCUGCCUUUGGCCUGACGGUACCCCAGUCUUCUUACGCCAUGACCUGUACCCAUCCUACCGAGAUACAGACUGGGACAUGACUGAACCCAUCAGAUGCCAGACACUGUCACCUAUGCCUCUAUCAGAAGAGAACAUCUCAAUGAGGAGAGAGAGGGAUAAAUCCAAGUGGUGGAAACGAACAUUCUAUGAUGUUCUAACAAGCUUGAUAAACCGAAAUUGGGCAGGAAGAAAACUUGAUGAAGGACUUCUAAAUAAUUUAAUUGAGGCAAUCCUCAGCCUCACAGUUUACUGUUCUAUAGACCAGUACACGACAUAUAUUAGUGCCCUGGCACAAAUUUUUGCCACUUACCAAGUAUCUCCAAGGUUGUGCUCUGAGACUGCCUGUCGCCUGCUGGAAGAUACACUCCAUCCCAACCCAUGCAUCCGUGAGCUAGCCUGGGAGGGGCUAGAUAUGCUUGGCAUCAUGAGCCAUCUCUUUGCUGUUCCACUGAGUCUGGGAUUGAUGGACAGUGAUGAAAAUGUGCGGGCUAAGGCUUUGUACCUUAUGAUAAGAGUCACAGGCAUCCAAAGUAAGAGCAUGCUGGUAGGCCUGCUGAAGGAACAAGAAACCCUCCAAAAAAUGCAGUAAGUUGUGUAGUGGCUUUCCCCCUUCUGUUUUUUCUAGCUCCUAACCUCCAGAAUCUGGUUGCUUAUUCUCCUUUUCUAUAACCCUUUCUAUUCUUUUCCUCCCACUAUGUUCUUUGUUUCUCUUUGCUUUUCUCCCCAGUGCUUACCCUUCUUCUGAUCCUUAAGAUUCCUCGAGACUCAAGUCUACAAACCUUCCAACCAAAAAAAUAUCUUUUAUCUCCCUGAUGACUUGAUUCUUUGCUAUCUUUGAUUCUUUCUUCUUUACCAACCCUUUACUUCAGACUACUCUGUCCUAAAUGGCCACUUUAUCUCUGCCUCUUCAAUUGUAAUUUCUUCUUCUCCUCCUCCUCCUCCUUCUCCCUGUCUUCCUUUCUUCCUUCCCUCCUCUUCCUCCUUCUUCUUCAAAUCUAGUUUUAUCACUGGCUUGGUAUCAUCCUUUUUUCCUCUUGACUUUUAUAGGCGGGAACUUAUUGGAGAAACCUCUCUGGACCAGCUGCUGGGGAUCCAAGCUAACGACAUCCAGUGCCUGCUUACACGGGUGGAGCAGCAGCUAAAUGAAAACCUGACCUUGUCACACAGAGACCAACAACCUCCUUUUUCUUUAGACAUAUCAAUGGAUGGUGAACCUGAGACCUUUGUCAAACGAACAUUCAUACCUGAAGAGAUCACCAAACGAAAGAAAAGAAUGACAUAUGUUCCAGAAAAGAGAGAAAGUCUUAGUAUGUAUGGGGUAAUAAAUGGGGUAUAUUUGGGGCCCACCUUAGGACACCAAAAGACACGGUCAGUAAGGCCAAGAUAUCUAAAAUGGGGAUACCUGGGUGGUUCAGUCGGUUGAGCAUCUGACUUCAGCUCAGGUCAUGAUCUCGUUCGAGCCCUGCGUAGGGCUCUCUGCUGUCAGCACGGUGCCCACUUCAGAUCCUCUGUCCUCCUCUCUCUUUCAAAAAUAAAUAAACAUUAAAAAAAGAUAUCUGAAAUUAUAUCAGUGGGAACAUAAUUACAUAGAGGUUCUUUUCCAUAGAAAGUAACCUUCCUGGGAAGGAAACACAUAUACCACAACAAAUAGCAAGGUGUUAUUUCUUCAGGAUAUGGAAGCUGGGAUAAAAUGACAAGCAUUUCUGUGCCAUAAAGCCUCAGUCCUCUUUGCCUCUGUACUUCUUAUGGAAGUUCAUUGAACUGUAUAUUACAAAGGAUACCACUCAGGGCCUCUGUUUUUUCUUAAAUAUUUUCCUCAAUAUCUCUGCAGUUAAAAAGGACCUGAGAGUUUCCAGAAAGAAGAGAGAGACAGAGCUUGUAAAAUUUAGCUCUAUGUUGGUGCCUUCAGAGGAUGAAGGUGAACAGAGAGAGGCCAAGAAAUCAGAGCUAAUUGACACUGAGGAUGUUGCCUUAGAGCCAGAGCUGCCACUAAGUACUUUCAGCCCAGCCAAAUCUGAAGAGGUUGCUGAAUCAAAGGAGGUCAUGACAGAAGCUACAGAAGCUAUGGAAGCCACAGAAGAAGGAAGAGGCCACAUGGCAGUCACAGAGGCAGUGGAAGCCACACAGAUUAUGAGGGCCAUAGAUCAACAUGACAUGAAAGAUUAUGGAGAGAUAUUCCCUAAGCUGGAAAGACAAGAACUCAUGAAAAGACUCUGGGAAAGGGCAGUGGAAAAAAGCCAUGAAAAAGUAGCUGCGAAGUUGAAACAGAAAGAAAAUUUGAAGGAUAUUUCAAAGACGACUGCAGAAGAGCCCAAAGAAAAAGUCAUGCAGAUUGCUGAACAAGAAAAAGAUACAAGGAAGAAACUUGGAAAGGGUGGCCAAGGUUUGGCUGGUGCCCCUGGACACACGGGUGAAUCAGACACCAGGUCUUGGCGGAAUGACAUUUGCUAUCUUGCCACCUCAAGGAUAGCAAGUUCCCAUCCAGGAAUGUUAAGGGAUCUGGGUCAAGAAUUGGUGGACUU
rnacentral:lncRNA from 1 species